AGAUGGCGACCGGCGCGACGGGUGAGUAACACGUAUCCAACCUGCCGAUAACGUCGGGGAUAGCCUUUACGAAAGAAAGAUUAAUACCCGAUGGUAUAAUCAGACCGCAUGGUCUUGUUAUUAAAGAAUUUCGAUAACCGAUGGGGAUGCGUUCCAUUAGUUUGUUGGCGGGGUAACGGCCCACCAAGACAUCGAUGGAUAGGGGUUCUGAGAGGAAGGUCCCCCACAUUGGAACUGAGACACGGUCCAA
rnacentral:rRNA from 1 species